UACGAAGGGGGCUAGCGUUGUUCGGAUUUACUGGGCGUAAAGCGCAUGUAGGCGGGCCGAUAAGUUGGGGGUGAAAUCCCGGAGCUCAACUCCGGAACUGCCUCCAAAACUAUCGGGCUGGAGCCGAGGAGAGGCGCGUGGAAUUCCGAGUGUAGAGGUGAAAUUCGUAGAUAUUGGGAGGAACACCGGUGGCGAAGGCGGCGCCCUGGCCCGGUACUGACGCUGAGGCGCGAAAGCGUGGGGAGCAAACAGG
rnacentral:rRNA from 1 species